AUUGAACGCUGGAGGAAUGCUUUACACAUGCAAGUCGAACGGUACAGGGGGCAACCCCUCGAGAGUGGCGAACGGGUGAGGAAUAUAUCGGAACGUGCCCAGUCGCGGGGGGUAACGUAGCGAAAGUUAGGCUAAUACCGCAUACGAGCUAAGGAGCAAAGCGGGGGGGCGCAAGACCUCGCGCGAUUGGAUCGGCGGGUAUCAGAGUAGGUAGUUGGUGGGGUAAAGGCUCACCAAGCCAACGAUCUGUAGCUGGUCUGAGAGGACCACCAGCCACACCGGAACUGCGACCCGGUCCAGACUCCUACGGGAGGCAGCAGUGGGGAAUUUUGGACAAUGGACGCAAGUCUGAUCCAGCCAUUCCGCGUGCAGGAUGAAGGCCCUCGGGUUGUAAACUGCUUUUGUACGGAACGAAAAGGUCUCUCUUAAUACGGGGGGCUCAUGACGGUACCGUAAGAAUAAGCACCGGCUAACUACGUGCCAGCCGCCGCAGUAA
rnacentral:rRNA from 1 species